AUUGAACGCUGGCGGCAGGCCUAACACAUGCAAGUCGAACGAGUGGCGGACGGGUGAGUAAUGUCUGGGAAACGGCCCGAUGGAGGGGGAUAACUACUGGAAACGGUAGCUAAUACCGUAUACCAUCGGCUGGGCCCAGAUGGGAUUAGCUAGUAUGUUGGGUAAUGGCUCACCAAGGCGACGAUCCCUAGCUGGUCUGAGAGGAUGAACAGCCAAACUGGAACUGAGACACGGUCCAGACUCCUACGGGAGGCAGCAGUGGGGAAUAUUGCACAAUGGGCGCAAGCCUGAUGCAGCCAUGCCGCGUGUAUGAAGAAGGCCUUCGGGUUGUAAAGUACUUUCAGCGGGGAGGCGUUACCCGCAGAAGAAGCACCGGCUAACUCCGUGCCAGCAGCCGCGGUAAUAC
rnacentral:rRNA from 1 species